UAAAAAGGACCGUAGCUUUGUCUGGGAAAUUACUUGUUUGCAAUAAAAUUGCUGUCAUUUUAGGGGCAAGAAAAGGAUGAGAGCCAAACUGGGAAAGGAAUUUAGUGUCAUGAAAUCAAACCAGCAAGUUUAGAUCAAAAGGUCUUUGGAGCAGGAAAUGUGCCUAAUCAUGUAUUCAUACAGUGACUGACAAAAUGAGGCUUUUGUCUUGACUUGAGUCCCUGGGAAUCGUCAGAAAGCAAACACCAGACCAAGGCAAGCUGCACCAGGACCUCUGAGAUAUACACAGAGGAGUGAAAAUGAGAGUGAAGGGAAAUAAGGAUGUCAGUCAGCUAAAGAACAAACUCUUUCUUCUUUGCACAGAUGGCCAUGAGGGC
rnacentral:lncRNA from 1 species